rnacentral:rRNA from 1 species
CGAUGCAACGCGAAGAACCUUACUACCCUUGACAUGUCCGGAACUUGCCAGAGAUGGCUUGGUGCCCGAAAGGGAAUCGGAACACAGGUGCUGCAUGGCUGUCGUCAGCUCGUGUCGUGAGAUGUUGGGUUAAGUCCCGCAACGAGCGCAACCCUUAUCAUUAGUUGCUACGCAAGGGCACUCUAAUGAGACUGCCGGUGACAAACCGGAGGAAGUGGGGAUGACGUCAAGUCCUCAUGGCCCUUAUGGGUAGGGCUUCACACGUCAUACAAUGGUCGGUACAGAGGGUUGCCAAGCCGCGAGGCGGAGCCAAUCCCACAAAGCCGAUCGUAGUCCGGAUUGUUCUCUGCAACUCGAGAGCAUGAAGUCGGAAUCGCUAGUAAUCGCAGGUCAGCAUACUGCGGUGAAUACGUUCCCGGGUCUU